AACGAACGCUGGCGGCAGGCUUAACACAUGCAAGUCGAGCGCCCCGCAAGGGGAGCGGCAGACGGGUGAGUAACGCGUGGGAAUCUACCCAUCCCUACGGAAUAACGCAUGGAUACGUGUGCUAAUACCGCAUACGUCCUUCGGGAGAAAGAUUUAUCGGAGAUGGAUGAGUCCGCGUUGGAUUAGCUAGUUGGUGGGGUAAAGGCCUACCAAGGCGACGAUCCAUAGCUGGUCUGAGAGGAUGAUCAGCCACACUGGGACGUGAGACACGGCCCAGACUCCUACGGGAGGCAGCAGUGGGAAAUAUUGGACAAUGGGCGCAAGCCUGAUCCAGCCAUGCCGCGUGAGUGAUGAAGGCCCUAGGGUUGUAAAGCUCUUUCACCGGUGAAGAUAAUGACGGUAACCGGAGAAGAAGCCCCGGCUAACUUCGUGCCAGCCGCCGCCGUAACAC
rnacentral:rRNA from 1 species